rnacentral:rRNA from 1 species
CCUACGGGAGGCAGCAGUGGGGAAUAUUGCACAAUGGGGGAAACCCUGAUGCAGCAACGCCGCGUGAGUGAUGACGGUCUUCGGAUUGUAAAACUCUGUCUUCAGGGACGAUAAUGACGGUACCUGAGGAGGAAGCCACGGCUAACUACGUGCCAGCAGCCGCGGUAA